CCUGACGCAGCAACGCCGCGUGAGUGAUGAAGGCCUUCGGGUUGUAAAGCUCUGUGGGGAGAGACGAAUAAGUGCGGGCUAAUACUCCGCAUGAUGACGGUAUCUCCUUAGCAAGCACCGGCUAACUCUGUGCCAGCAGCCGCGGUAAGACAGAGGGUGCAAACGUUGUUCGGAAUUACUGGGCGUAAAGCGAGUGUAGGCGGUCUGGUAAGUCGGAUGUGAAAGCCCCGGGCUCAACCCGGGAAGUGCACUCGAUACUACCAAGCUAGAGUAUCGGAGAGGUUGGUGGAAUUCUCGGUGUAGAGGUGAAAUUCGUAGAUAUCGAGAGGAACAUCGGUGGCGAAGGCGGCCAACUGGACGAAUACUGACGCUGAGACUCGAAAGCGUGGGGAGCAAACAGGAUUAGAUACCCUGGUAGUCCACGCCGUAAACGAUGGGUGCUAGGUGUCGCGGGCUUUGACUCCUGCGGUGCCGUAGCUAACGCGUUAAGCACCCCGCCUGGGAAGUACGGCCGCAAGGCUAAAACUCAAAUGAAUUGACGG
rnacentral:rRNA from 1 species